rnacentral:rRNA from 1 species
AUACGUAGGGGGCAAGCGUUAUCCGGAUUUACUGGGUGUAAAGGGAGCGCAGGCGGUCCUGCAAGUCUGAUGUGAAAGCCCGGGGCUCAACCCCGGGACUGCAUUGGAAACUGUGGGACUUGAGUGUCGGAGGGGCAAGUGGAAUUCCUAGUGUAGCGGUGAAAUGCGUAGAUAUUAGGAGGAACACCAGUGGCGAAGGCGGCUUGCUGGACAUUAACUGACGCUGAGGCGCGAAAGCGUGGGGAGC